rnacentral:rRNA from 1 species
UACAGAGGUGGCAAGCGUUGUUCGGAAUUACUGGGCGUAAAGAGCUCGUAGGCGGCUUGUUGCGUCGACCGUGAAAACCCGUGGCUCAACUGCGGGCUUGCGGUCGAUACGGGCGGGCUAGAGUUCGGUAGGGGAGACUGGAAUUCCUGGUGUAGCGGUGAAAUGCGCAGAUAUCAGGAAGAACACCAAUGGCGAAAGCAGCUCUCUGGGACGGUACUGACGCUGAGACGCGAAAGCGUGGGGAGCGAACAGG